rnacentral:lncRNA from 1 species
AAGCCCAGGUGGAAUCUCUGACCUGAAAUGUAUAAAAUUUCCUUUCUUCAAAGUGCUUUUAUUCUCUUGGCAUAGGAACAAAUUGUACCUUGAGGGCCAGAUUUGCAAGUGGAUCCAUAUGGAGAAAUCUUUAUGUAUUGGGAACAUCAUUCAACUCAACGGGACGCUGUGAGGGCACAGAAGCUUGCCAGGUCCAAGCUGCAAUUUGAAAAGUGUUUUGUGCUCCUUCAAGGGGAACCUUUUGAGCCACAGAGGGUCUUUCACCUUGGCUCUGAAGACAGAAUUUGGCCCUUUGCAAUCUGUUCAGCUUCUGCCAGUUUUGCUGUCUGCCUCAGUAUCUGCCCUUGCAAAAUGAAAGAGAGAAGAGGCAUGUGUGAAUCUGGCCCAAGAGGGAAUAAGGAGGAAAGAAAGGUUGGGGAGCAGUUGCUCCUGGAGGAGCAUUGUUUGAAGAAAUGACUGUUCUGAGGAGAAAAGGGA